UACGGGGGGGGCAAGCGUUGUUCGGAAUUACUGGGCGUAAAGGGCGUGUAGGUGGCCAACUAAGUCCGACGUGAAAUCCCCAGGCUUAACCUGGGAACUGCGUCGGAUACUGGAUGGCUUGAAUUCGGGAGAGGGAUGCAGAAUUCCAGGUGUAGCGGUGAAAUGCGUAGAUAUCGGCAGGAACACCCAGGGAGAAAUCAGCCGCCUGGGCAAGUGCUGACGCUGAGGUGCGAAAGCGUGGGGAGCGAACCGG
rnacentral:rRNA from 1 species